GAUGAACGCUGGCGGCGUGCCUAACACAUGCAAGUCGAACGGAGAAUUAUUGCCGAGGAGACUUCGGUCAAAUCAUAAUAAUUCUUAGUGGCGAACGGGUGAGUAACGCGUGGGGAACCUGCCUCACACCGGGGGAUAGCAGUUGGAAACGACUGGUAAUACCGCAUAAGCGCACAGUAUCGCAUGAUACAGUGUGAAAAACUCCGGUGGUGUGAGAUGGCCCCGCGUCUGAUUAGCUAGUUGGUAGAGUAAAAGCCUACCAAGGCGACGAUCAGUAGCCGGGUUGAGAGACCGGACGGCCACAUUGGGACUGAGACACGGCCCAGACUCCUACGGGAGGCAGCAGUGGGGGAUAUUGCACAAUGGAGGAAACUCUGAUGCAGCGACGCCGCGUGAGUGAAGAAGUAUUUCGGUAUGUAAAGCUCUAUCAGCAGGGAAGAAAGACUCGAAAGAGAGAUGACGGUACCUGACUAAGAAGCUCCGGCUAAAUACGUGCCAGCAGCCGCGGUAAUACGUAUGGAGCAAGCGUUAUCCGGAUUUACUGGGUGUAAAGGGAGCGCAGACGGUUAUGCAAGUCUGAAGUGAAAAACCACGGCUCAACUGUGGUCUUGCUUUGGAAACUGUGUAACUAGAGUGUCGGAAGGGUAAGCGGAAUUCCUAGUGUAGCGGUGAAAUGCGUAGAUAUUAGGAAGAACACCGGAGGCGAAGGCGGCUUACUGGACGAUAACUGACGUUGAGGCUCGAAGGCGUGGGUAGCAAACAGG
rnacentral:rRNA from 1 species